GAAAACUUCCCCCUGAACCCAACUGUUUUCGGGUGUUUGUCCUGGCAGGCACUGCGUGCAUUUCCCACUCUCCACUCACAGGAGGGUCGGAUCCAGCCGAGGGAGGAAAACAGGACCUCUACCCCAGUUUGGGAAGCUCUGGGCUCAAGCUGAC